AAGCGUACGACGGCAGUGAUUAGAGUUUGAUCCUGGCUCAGGAUGAACGCUAGCUACAGGCUUAACACAUGCAAGUCGAGGGGAAACGAUAUAGAAAGCUUGCUUUCUUUAGGCGUCGACCGGCGAAUGGGUGAGUAACGCGUAUCCAACCUGCCCCUGAGUAAGGGAUAGCCCAUCGAAAGAUGGAUUAAUACCUUAUGGUCUCCUUUGCAGACAUCUAAUUAGGAGUAAAGAUUUAUCGCUGAGGGAUGGGGAUGCGUCUGAUUAGCUUGUUGGCGGGGUAACGGCCCACCAAGGCAACGAUCAGUAGGGGUUCUGAGAGGAAGGUCCCCCACAUUGGUACUGAGACACGGACCAAACUCCUACGGGAGGCAGCAGUGAGGAAUAUUGGUCAAUGGACGGAAGUCUGAACCAGCCAAGUAGCGUGCAGGAAGACUGCCCUAUGGGUUGUAAACUGCUUUUAUACGGGGAUAAAGUCAGGGUCGUGACCCUGUUUGCAGGUACCGUAUGAAUAAGGACCGGCUAAUUCCGUGCCAGCAGCCGCGGUAAUACGGAAGGUCCAGGCGUUAUCCGGAUUUAUUGGGUUUAAAGGGAGCGUAGGCCGGAGAUUAAGUGUGUUGUGAAAUGUAGAUGCUCAACAUCUGCACUGCAGCGCAUACUGGUUUCCUUGAGUACACGCAACGUUGGCGGAAUUCGUCGUGUAGCGGUGAAAUGCUUAGAUAUGACGAAGAACUCCGAUUGCGAAGGCAGCUGACGGGAGUGCAACUGACGCUGAAGCUCGAAAGUGCGGGUAUCGAACAGGAUUAGAUACCCUGGUAGUCCGCACGGUAAACGAUGGAUGCCCGCUAUUCGCUCGAAUGAGUGAGUGGCCAAGCGAAAGCAUUAAGCAUCCCACCUGGGGAGUACGCCGGCACGGUGAACUCAAAGGAAUUGACGGGGCCCGCACAGCGAGACAUGUGGUUUAUCGAUGAUACGCGAGACUUACCGGGCUGAUGCAGAUGACGAUCAAGAUGUGAGCCCUUCUGGCAUCUGUGAGUGCUGCAUGUGUCGUCAGCUCUGCCGUGAGGGUCGCUAUGCAUAACGAGCGCACCUGUUCUAGUGCAUCAGUAUGCUGGCAUCUGAAACUGCACGUAAGGUUGAGAAGUGGGAUACUCAUCAACCGGCUUACUCGGGCUACACGUUCAUUGCGGUACAGAAUUGUUC
rnacentral:rRNA from 1 species